AGCGAAUGUGCGAAAAAAAAGAUAGCAUCUGCAGCGACUCUCUGCAAUUGCCAAGCGGCACUUCGCUUCCUUCAUCUUCCCGGCCGGUGCGGUGCGUACGGCGCAACCAGAUCUCACGGCGAGGCCGAGCUAACCGCCUCCGAGGAUCCGCACAAACCCCCAGCCACCGUACGCACCGCAGCAGCGGCGGCGGAGGGGCAUGGAGAGCUCGUCGCCUUCGGUGCCGUUCCCGCUGCUGCAGGCGCCAGUGGAGAGCACGUACCGUGCCUGCACCAUACCCUACCGCUUCCCCUCCGACAACCCCCGCAAGGCCACCCCCGUCGAGAUCCAGUGGAUCGACCUCUUCCUGAAGUCCGUGCCAUCCUUCAGGCAGCGGGCGGAGAAUGACCCCACGGUGCCGGAUGCCCCCGCCAAGGCCGAGAAGUUUGCUCAGAGGUACACUGAUAUGCUUGAGGAGUUGAAGAAGAACCCAGAGAGCCAUGGAGGACCUCCUGAUUGCAUACUUCUUUGUAGGCUUCGUGAGCUAAUCCUUAGAGAAUUGGGGUUUCAUGACAUCUUCAAGAAGGUUAAGGACGAGGAGAACGCUAAGGCUAUGUCACUGUUUGAGGGAGUUGUUCAGCGGAAUGAUGAAAUAGAAGAUGGUGAGAAACGAGCAGAGAACUUGAUCCGUGGAAUCUUAGCAGGAAACAUAUUUGACUUAGGGUCUGCACAGCUUGCAGAAGUUUUUGCUAAAGAUGGUAUGUCCUUCUUGGCGAGUUGCCAGAAUCUUUUAUCUCGACCUUGGGUUAUUGAUGACCUAGAUGCAUUUAAAAGCAAAUGGACAAAGAAAUCUUGGGAAAAGGCAGUUAUUUUUGUUGAUAAUUCUGGUGCUGAUAUCAUAUUGGGCAUAUUACCAUUUGCGAGGGAGUUGCUCCGACGUGGCACUAAGGUGAUACUUGCUGCCAAUGACAUGCCUUCCAUCAAUGAUAUCACUUACCUAGAGUUGGUUGAGAUUGUAAACAAGCUCAAGGACGAAAAUGGAAAGCUUGCUGGUGUGGAUGUAUCUGACCUCAUUGUUGCCAACUCCGGGAACGAUCUGCCAGUAAUAGAUUUGUCUAGCGUCGCACCGGAACUAGCCUAUAUGGCAAGCGAUGCUGACUUGGUCAUCCUAGAAGGCAUGGGAAGAGGAAUCGAAACCAACCUAUACGCACAAAUGAAAUGUGACUCGAUCAAGAUUGGAAUGGUCAAGCAUCCCGAAGUGGCGCAGUUUUUGGGUGGAAGGCUUUACGAUUGCGUCUUCAAGUUCAACGAGGCCUGAAACACUCUGAAGCCCCUGCAUGGCACCAACCACAUUGCAUUCAUUUUAAACAUUGAUUACUGAUGCAAUCCUACACUGAAGCUGGAGAUUUACAAUUGGAGAAUUCGAUCAUGAAAUGGUUGGGCGUCUAUUCUCUACUUUCUUCAGCCGCUGCCUUGGCCUCCGUGCUUGUACACCUACGGCUGAGCAUGAGCACACACGCGCAAAGGACUCUUGAUGCGGCAUCCAUGGAUCUUGAUAUUAAAAAGAAAUCGUAAGUAUGGUUUUGGUUGAGUUUGAUGGGGAGAUUAUAGUUUAUGUCAAUUCAAUGUACUAGAUAUGCAGGUCAGAAAAUUGUUUUGCCUGCCAAACUACUGUGUCAUGUAUUCAUGUUACACCUCUUGUCAUUCAUUUUCUUUAUGUCAACCCCUAUAUCAUUCCUAAAUCCUAGUGGUGUAGUCAUAUGUAGAUAUGUUGAUGAUAUCAUAUUGUUUUUAAAAGAUGAUAAAUAUGUUAGGAAUUUCAAGUCGACACGUUUGAAACAAUGGUCCGGUUGAAGAUCGAUUAAAAAAAAGUGAGGUGCAGUGCUUUUGAUCCAA